GUCUCAUGUUCGUGUGCUACGUAAAUAAUACUACUAACCGACAGAGCUUGAUAAUUAAGCUAGAAAAAAGAGGAAAGACAUAAACAGAGACCGAAAUAGGCACAAUAUCCACAAGAGAGGGAAAUACACUAGAUACGUUAUGCUCAAUAUGGACACGAUUAGUUUCCUUAAUAAAUCAAAAUACUUGGGAAUCGAACAAACUAUUGUUUCGUAUACGAUCUGGAAUUUCAUUGACGCGUAAACAUUGAGGGAGUGCCAGUAAAUAGGUUGGCAUUCGUCGAAUGCAUUAAUCGUGAAAUUGACGAAAAAAGAAAAUAUGUGUACGAAAGGCAAAGAUCGUGAAAAUAUAUAUAUAAUUACAUUUACACCGUUUCAGAAAGAUGAAAGAAGUAAAUUUUGACACAUGUUACUAACGAUACUUUACGUACUUGAUGUCUCGAAACUUUUCGACGAAACUUAAUGGUAAUCGUUCACAUAAAUCCACACCAUUAACAGUACUUGAUUUGUCACUUGCACAAGUAAGAAGGAGAUCACCUUAAGACUGUCAUGAUUUCCGUGACGAAUGUCCAGCAACACAGCUUUAAACGAAGGAGUCCGAAUCGACUGUACCAAGGUCUCGUGAAAGGUGCGACACCAAAAACUACCCGAAUCACGUAACUGCGACUACAUUACUCGGCCAGGUUUGGAGGUCCCUGCGCGAUUCACGUUACCGACAGUACUUCAAAUAACUUUAUUUUCGAAGAAAUAUAUAAACAAGAACGUUCUGGGAAAUCUACACUGUUUAAGCACACAAAUAUCGUCAAUAACAGUAACUGUAACUAAAUUCAUAUCGAAGAAUCAAGAUUCAAACGUCGAAUACUUCUCACGGUACAAUUUUUGAUUUACAUUAAUCAAGUGAGAAUCACAGUUGGCCGUACAAGGUUUCAUGAGAAGCACGGACGCCAAAAAUACACUGCGAGAAGUAGCAACGUAGGUAAGCAACUGAGAGUCAAAUGAUUCGUACUGUUCUCUGGUCAAGCCGUUAGGUGCACGUGUACCCAGAGAAGCAAACACGCACGCGCGCAUUCGAACAUACACAGGUGGUUCAGAGGGAUCUUGCCUUUACCUCGUCGCCCUUCGACAGAGGACUAAGACCGAUCGAUCACUUGCUUCGAAGAACGUACCACGCACAAUACGCCAAUUCUAACAAAAAUUGCCAUUCUGCUUGUUUAACACAUUUUGUUUUUAACACUUCACUCCCAGCUUUUCGUUGCACUUCCGAAAAUUUUGUAAGAAACUGUACAAACAAACUAGGAAGCAAUUAUUAACCUUAUUACCGGCUCUUCAACUACCAAACUGUUAUAUUGGGUAUAGUUCUCAUGAACUACUCUAACUACCAAUCGACUUACAUGAAACACGGUAAUUACGAACCGCGGUUAAGGCGAUUUCCCGGAACAUAGGAGACACCGUGCUUAAUGUUUCACCAGCGAAGACCACAGAGAAACUACUCGAAAGGUUCGAGUUUGACAUAUCACAAGAAACGAGGACUUGGAUGGUAGGAGAGUUAGAUGGAGGCGGGUAAAGCCCUGCAGCGUGCAUUAGGUUUUAUGACUGCCAAGGUCAGCUGCUUUCCAUAAGAAUGGCGCCGUGAACAUCUCAACAACUGCAGCUCAAUUAGUAGAGGAACAAGCACCAGCUUAAUCCAGAUAUUAUUAGCAUUCUUCCAUAAGAAAGAUUUUGCAAGACAAGUAUAUAUAUUCAUGUUUUGCGAUUUUCCAAUGGUUACGCAGCUCAACGUUCUUCUGGAAAGAUGGAACAUUAUCUGACACUAAUACAAAAAUUAAAUUAAUAUAUUCGAUUUAGAAUCUAAAUAGAAGAAAAAUUUCUUAAGAAAUACCACAAGAGAUAUUUGAACAUAUGAACUGAAUUGUAGUGAUAUUGGAAUUAACGUCUCCUCACGUGCGCCCUAUGUAUAUGGAGCUCUCGAAUUUGCUCUCAACAUAGAAACUUUGUAAAUUACAGUUUUAUAAAUCCAGUUAUAAAACAAAUAAAUUUUAUGGUUCACUUCAA